CUGUGUUUUCACAAUGCUCCACUGUGUUAUCACAGGACUUUACUGUGGUGUCACAGUUCUCUACUGUUGUGUCAGAUUGCUCCACUGUGGUGUCACAAUG
rnacentral:sRNA from 1 species